rnacentral:rRNA from 1 species
UACAGAGGGGGCAAGCGUUGUUCGGAAUUACUGGGCGUAAAGGGCGCGUAGGCGGCCUGCUAAGUCGAACGUGAAAUCCCUGGGCUCAACCCAGGAACUGCGUCCGAUACUGGUUGGCUUGAAUCCGGGAGAGGGAUGUGGAAUUCCAGGUGUAGCGGUGAAAUGCGUAGAUAUCUGGAGGAAUACCGGUGGCGAAGGCGGCAUCCUGGACCGGAAUUGACACUGAGGAGCGAAAGCCAGGGGAGCAAACGGG